GCCAAUGUGGUGUAGUGGUUUGAACAUUGGACUAUGACUCUGGAGACCAGGGUUCGAUUCCCUGCUCAGCCA